AGAUCCCGAGACUCAAACACAAGUCUUAUUAUAAAGGAAAUAAAGAAAACUUUCCUAAUUGGAUCAUACCAAAGCCUGGGCUCUUCUUUAUCUCUCUUCUCGUAGUUUCUUGUUUUGUUUGGUUCUUUUAGAAGAAAUAGUUUCUUAAAAAAGGGAUCAAAAUGGGAAGGGGUAGGGUUCAACUGAAGAGGAUAGAGAACAAGAUCAAUAGACAAGUGACAUUCUCCAAAAGAAGAGCUGGUCUUUUCAAGAAAGCUCAUGAGAUCUCUGUUCUCUGUGAUGCUGAAGUUGCCCUUGUUGUCUUCUCCCAUAAGGGGAAACUCUUUGAAUACUCCACUGAUUCUUGCAUGGAGAAGAUACUUGAACGCUAUGAGAGGUACUCUUACGCCGAGAGACAGCUUAUUGCACCUGAGUCAGACGUCAAUACGAACUGGUCAAUGGAGUAUAACAGGCUUAAGGCUAAGAUUGAGCUUUUGGAGAGAAACCAGAGGCACUAUCUUGGGGAAGACUUGCAAGCAAUGAGCCCUAAAGAGCUCCAGAAUCUGGAGCAGCAGCUUGACACUGCUCUUAAGCACAUCCGAUCUAGAAAAAACCAACUUAUGCACGACUCCGUCAGUGAGCUCCAAAGAAAGGAGAAGGCGAUACAGGAACAAAACAGCAUGCUUUCCAAACAGAUCAAGGAGAGGGAAAAAGUUCUUAGGGCACAGCAAGAGCAAUGGGACCAGCAGAACCAUGGCCAAAAUUUGCCUCCGCCCCCGCAGCAGCAUCAAAUCCAGCAUCCAUACAUUCUCUCUCAUCAGCCAUCUCCUUUUCUCAACAUGGGUUUCUGUGUUAGUGAUGGUAGAUGCCCAAGAUGUGAGUUAUACAAGUACACUCUACGAAUAUGAUUCACGUAUGUUAAUGCAAUGGUCGUCAAAGAACAGACUUGUAUUUUAUUGGAAUGGUUGUGAAAAGCCUAGGAUCCGAUCCAUUUUCGCCUCACUUUGUGGCCUAUAUCAAGAAGAGGAUGAUCCAAUGGCAAUGAGGAGAAACGACCUUGAUUUAUCUCUUGAACCCGUUUACAACUGCAACCUUGGCUGCUUUGCCUCAUGAAGCAAUUUCAUAUAUAUAAUCAUCAAUAAUAAAAGUAAUUAGCCGCAUAGUAUAUUUUGGCUAGCUUCUUUCUAUCCAAUUAAUAUAUUUUGGCAAGGUCCAUGUACUUAUAUCAUAUAUAUAAGUUGGCAACCUCCUUUUCUCUUUGUAAUUUUAAGUAUUUUGCUCUAGUAUAUGGCAAAAAUUGUAAUACAUUCAGUUUUAUUUUUAUUAGCUUUGGAACUAUUGGCAAA